rnacentral:rRNA from 1 species
AGGACGAACGCUGGCGGCACGCUUAACACAUGCAAGUCGAACGGAGUUUAGAGAGCUUGCUUUUAAACUUAGUGGCGGACGGGUGAGUAACACGUGAGCAAUCUGCCUUUCAGAGGGGGAUAGCAGUUGGAAACGACUGAUAAUACCGCAUAACAUAGCGAAACCGCAUGAUUUUGCUAUCAAAGAUUAUAUCGCUGAAAGAUGAGCUCGCGUCUGAUUAGGUAGUUGGUGAGGUAACGGCCCACCAAGCCGACGAUCAGUAGCCGGACUGAGAGGUUGAACGGCCACAUUGGGACUGAGACACGGCCCAGACUCCUACGGGAGGCAGCAGUGGGGAAUAUUGGGCAAUGGGCGAAAGCCUGAACCCCCAGCAACGCCGCGUGAGUGAAGAAGGCCUUCGGGUUGUAAAGCUCUGUUAUAGUUGACGAAGGAAGUGACGGUAGGCUAUAAGGAAGCCCCGGCUAACUACGUGCCAGCAGCCGC